GAUGAACGCUGGCGGCGUGCCUAAUACAUGCAAGUCGAGCGAACGGACGAGAAGCUUGCUUCUCUGAUGUUAGCGGCGGACGGGUGAGUAACACGUGGAUAACCUACCUAUAAGACUGGGAUAACUUCGGGAAACCGGAGCUAAUACCAGAUAAUAUUUUGAACCGCAUGGUUCAAAAGUGAAAGACGGUCUUGCUGUCACUUAUAGAUGGAUCCGCGCUGCAUUAGCUAGUUGGUAAGGUAACGGCUUACCAAGGCAACGAUGCAUAGCCGACCUGAGAGGGUGAUCGGCCACACUGGAACUGAGACACGGUCCAGACUCCUACGGGAGGCAGCAGUAGGGAAUCUUCCGCAAUGGGCGAAAGCCUGACGGAGCAACGCCGCGUGAGUGAUGAAGGUCUUCGGAUCGUAAAACUCUGUUAUUAGGGAAGAACAUAUGUGUAAGUAACUGUGCACAUCUUGACGGUACCUAAUCAGAAAGCCACGGCUAACUACGUGCCAGCAGCCGCGGUAAUACGUAGGUGGCAAGCGUUAUCCGGAAUUAUUGGGCGUAAAGCGCGCGUAGGCGGUUUUUUAAGUCUGAUGUGAAAGCCCACGGCUCAACCGUGGAGGGUCAUUGGAAACUGGAAAACUUGAGUGCAGAAGAGGAAAGUGGAAUUCCAUGUGUAGCGGUGAAAUGCGCAGAGAUAUGGAGGAACACCAGUGGCGAAGGCGACUUUCUGGUCUGUAACUGACGCUGAUGUGCGAAAGCGUGGGGAUCAAACAGGAUUAGAUACCCUGGUAGUCCACGCCGUAAACGAUGAGUGCUAAGUGUUAGGGGGUUUCCGCCCCUUAGUGCUGCAGCUAACGCAUUAAGCACUCCGCCUGGGGAGUACGACCGCAAGGUUGAAACUCAAAGGAAUUGACGGGGACCCGCACAAGCGGUGGAGCAUGUGGCUUAAUUCGAAGCAACGCGAAGAACCUUACCAAAUCUUGACAUCCUUUGACAACUCUAGAGAUAGAGCCUUCCCCUUCGGGGGACAAAGUGACAGGUGGUGCAUGGUUGUCGUCAGCUCGUGUCGUGAGAUGUUGGGUUAAGUCCCGCAACGAGCGCAACCCUUAAGCUUAGUUGCCAUCAUUAAGUUGGGCACUCUAAGUUGACUGCCGGUGACAAACCGGAGGAAGGUGGGGAUGACGUCAAAUCAUCAUGCCCCUUAUGAUUUGGGCUACACACGUGCUACAAUGGACAAUACAAAGGGCAGCGAAACCGCGAGGUCAAGCAAAUCCCAUAAAGUUGUCCUCAGUUCGGAUUGUAGUCUGCAACUCGACUACAUGAAGCUGGAAUCGCUAGUAAUCGUAGAUCAGCAUGCUACGGUGAAUACGUUCCCGGGUCU
rnacentral:rRNA from 1 species